rnacentral:rRNA from 1 species
UACAGAGGAGCCAAGCGUUGUCCGGAUUGACUGGGCGUAAAGCGCACGCAGGCGGUCGGGCGCGUGGGGUGUGAAAUCUGGCCGCUUAACGGCCAGGCGCCAUCCCAUACGGACGGACUGGAGGGAUGCAGAGGUCGGUGGAAUUGCCGGUGUAGUGGUGAAAUGCGUAGAGAUCGGCAGGAACACCCAGGGGGAAGGCAGCCGACUGGGCAUCAACUGACGCUGAGGUGCGAGAGCGUGGGGAGCGAACCGG